rnacentral:tRNA from 1 species
CAUUAGAUGGCUGAAAGUAAGCCCUGGUCUCUUAAACCACAUUAUAGUAAAUAACAUCUACUUCUAAUG